GAGGGACAGGCUGCCAAGAGCCGGCGCUCUGCAGAAGUUGGACGCCGGGGUCCCCUGGCUCCGCGUCCCCGGAAGACUCCGGACCGGGGAUGGCGGAGGGGGCAACCGCAGGGGUCUUAAAGGGCCCGCGGGAUGCUUUUGGGUCGCGCUUUGAGUCCCGCGCCACCCUAAGCCGUGGCAACGCCGAUCACCUCCCCGCCAGGUGUCAGUCCUAGCGCCCUGCCGGACCGCGCCCUGGGGCCGGGACCGCCCGCAGGCUCCGUGCCCCCCAGCCGGCAGCCGCGGGGAACGCCCCCUGCAGCGCGGCCCAGAGCCGACCCUUUCCCAGGAGAGGUCGGGGUGUCCAGGGGCUGACAACGUCCCCGGAGAAUAAAGGGCCUGAUCUCAGAGCAUCAAAAUGGAUUUUCUCAACAAUUUCCUGCCUCUAAAUUAAAAUCUUGCCUUUAAAAGACUCGAAAUUAUCUGGAUCUGACAUCCUCCUUUUCGGGCCUGCUGAGUCACGGAAUAUUCUCCGUGCCAGAAUGACUCAGUUCACAGAAUCUGAGCCAGAAGAUCAUGAGUUUUAGUACGAGAUGGAACCUAGGCGCUUACCCAGUGCUGGUACGACAAGCAAAACGAGGAAGGGAGCAUGCUGCAAAAGUGGACGGCCUGAGGGUGGAGGUUUUUAAUUCUUUGAAGUUCUUAAGCAAAGUGGUUGAUCAGGAGACUUUUUUUUUUUAACUUCUCAAGAUCAUAAUAGUAUAGUGAGAAUAAUAAGUACCUGGGGGAAAAAAGACACCUGGUUUUGGACUCAGUAGUUCCGUUAAGAGAGGGAAGGCGGGGAUCUGAAAAAGUGUGUUGCUAUGGUUGGGAUUAGUGUUAACUCUAGGAGGACCUUAAGGAUAAUAGUCUGGUUGGCGGGGGGAAAGGGUCUAGGGGACUUGUCAAUAUGCUGAGCUUGCUUAGCAAGUCUGUGAAUCACUUAGAUUGUUCAUUUAUCUGAUGAGAUGGGUGGAAAUGAUGCAUGACUAAAAGAGUCUCAAACUCCUCAGCCUUUGGCACCUCCUCUUUGGGAAAAGAAAGUUGUGGAGUUGUUGGUACCAAUGUUUUAAUUAUUUUAUAUUUGAGUCCAAACAAAGUACAGUUGAACCUGAAACAACAUGGGUUCGAACUGUGCAGGUCCAUUUAUACAAGGAUUUCUUUCAGUAAAUAUAUUAGAAAGUUUUUUGAAAAUUUGCAACAAUUUGAAAGAACAUUUUAUUUUCCCUAGCUUUUUUUUUUUGUCACUUUUCUAACUUCCCUAGCUUACUUUUAAGAAUACAAUGUAUAAUAUACAUACACAAAAUAUGUGUUAAUUGACUUUAUGUUACCAGUAAGGCUUCCGGUCUGCAGUAGGCUAUUAGCAGUUAAGUUUUUGAGGGACUCAAAAGUUAUAGGUGAAUUUUUGACUGAGGUGAGGUGGAUGCCCCUAACCUCCACGUUGUUCAAGGGCCAAGUGUAUAUUCAUUUAUACCUAGAGGGGCUGAUUCUGUCCUUGAUUGUACUUGAGAACAAACAAGGGCAUAUAGGACAAAGAUAAGGAUAUUAGUUGUAAAUAAAGCUACACAUAUUUUUGAUAAACAUAUUUAAGUAAAUAUAUCAAUGCAUUUGCCUUACACAUUUUCAAUAUUUUAUUAGAUGUUGGCAAAUCAAACAGUGGUGUCCUUUUGUUUUCCACCAAGUCAAAGACCUCAAAGGCAGCAAAAUCAACAUACAUAUUACCUUUGUCAUUCCUCCCCUUGGGGUUCUAAUGUCCAAGGGUAACUUAAAGCUAUUAUGCUUAUCUUACCCAUGAUUUCAUGACCAGAACCUCAUCUGGUAUUUGUAAAGCCCAUAAAGAGAUUUUGAAUUAAUUUCUAAA